rnacentral:misc_RNA from 1 species
GAUUAAGAACGCAGCGAAAUGCGAUAAGUAAUGUGAAUUGCAGAAUUCAGUGAAUCAUCGAGUCUUUGAACGCACAUUGCGCCCCCUGGUAUUCCGGGGGGCAUGCCUGUCCGAGCGUCAUUGCUGCCCUCAAGCACGGCUUGUGUGUUGGGCCUCCGUCCUCCUCCCGGGGGACGGGCCCGAAAGGCAGCGGCGGCACCGCGUCCGGUCCUCGAGCGUAUGGGGCUUCGUCACCCGCUCUUGUAGGCCCGGCCGGCGCUUGCCGACACAUCAAUCUUUUUUCCAGGUUGACCUCGGAUCAGGUAGGGAUACCCGCUGAACUUAAGCAUAUCAAUAAGCGGAGGA